UACAGAGGGUGCGAGCGUUGUCCGGAAUCACUGGGCGUAAAGGGCGCGUAGGCGGCUCAGUAAGGUUGCGGUGAAAGCCCGGGGCUCAACCCCGGGUCGGCCGUGGCAACUGCUGGGCUGGAGCACUGUAGAGGCAGGUGGAAUUCCGCGUGUAGCAGUGAAAUGCGUAGAGAUGCGGAGGAACACCGAUGGCGAAGGCAGCCCCCUGGGUCGACACUGACGCUCAGGCACGAAAGCGUGGGGAGCAAACAGG
rnacentral:rRNA from 1 species